GAUGAACGCUAGCUACAGGCUUAACACAUGCAAGUCGAGGGGAAACGGCAUUAAGUGCUUGCACUUUUUGGACGUCGACCGGCGCACGGGUGAGUAACGCGUAUCCAACCUUCCCAUGACUAAGGGAUAACCUGCCGAAAGGCAGACUAAUACCUUAUGGUCUUCACUGACGGCAUCAGAUGUGAAGUAAAGAUUUAUCGGUUAUGGAUGGGGAUGCGUCUGAUUAGCUUGUUGGCGGGGUAACGGCCCACCAAGGCAACGAUCAGUAGGGGUUCUGAGAGGAAGGUCCCCCACAUUGGAACUGAGACACGGUCCAAACUCCUACGGGAGGCAGCAAUGAGGAAUAUUGGUCAAUGGGCGAGAGCCUGAACCAGCCAAGUAGCGUGCAGGAUGACGGCCCUAUGGGUUGUAAACUGCUUUUGUAUGGGGAUAAAGUCAAUCACGUGUGAUUGUUUGCAGGUACCAUACGAAUAAGGACCGGCUAAUUCCGUG
rnacentral:rRNA from 1 species